rnacentral:rRNA from 1 species
UACGUAGGGGUGCAAGCGUUUGUCCGGAAUUAUUGGGCGUAAAGAGCUCGUAGGCGGUUUGUCGCGUCUGCUGUGAAAACCGGAGGCUCAACCUCCGGCCUGCAGUGGGUACGGGCAGACUAGAGUGCGGUAGGGGAGAUUGGAAUUCCUGGUGUAGCGGUGGAAUGCGCAGAUAUCAGGAGGAACACCGAUGGCGAAGGCAG